rnacentral:rRNA from 1 species
GACGUAGGGCGCGAGCGUUGUCCGGCUUUAUUGGGCGUAAAGAGCUCGUAGGCGGCUUGUUGCGUCGGCUGUGAAAUCUCGUGGCUUAACUGCGGGCUUGCAGCUGAUACGGGCGGGCUAGAGUUCGGUAGGGGAGACUGGAAUUCCUGGUGUAGCGGUGAAAUGCGCAGAUAUCAGGAGGAACACCGGUGGCGAAGGCGGGUCUCUGGGCCGAUACUGACGCUGAGGAGCGAAAGCGUGGGGAGCAAACAAG